GAUGAACGCUGGCGGCGUGCCUAAUACAUGCAAGUCGAGCGAACAGACGAGGAGCUUGCUCCUCUGACGUUAGCGGCGGACGGGUGAGUAACACGUGGAUAACCUACCUAUAAGACUGGGAUAACUUCGGGAAACCGGAGCUAAUACCGGAUAAUAUAUUGAACCGCAUGGUUCAAUAGUGAAAGACGGUUUUGCUGUCACUUAUAGAUGGAUCCGCGCCGCAUUAGCUAGUUGGUAAGGUAACGGCUUACCAAGGCGACGAUGCUUAGCCGACCUGAGAGGGUGAUCGGCCACACUGGAACUGAGACACGGUCCAGACUCCUACGGGAGGCAGCAGUAGGGAAUCUUCCGCAAUGGGCGAAAGCCUGACGGAGCAACGCCGCGUGAGUGAUGAAGGUCUUCGGAUCGUAAAACUCUGUUAUUAGGGAAGAACAAAUGUGUAAGUAACUAUGCACGUCUUGACGGUACCUAAUCAGAAAGCCACGGCUAACUACGUG
rnacentral:rRNA from 1 species